ACGAAUCAAAACUGCCGAAGACAGUAGGUGCCGCAAGGCAUAAGGAGAAAACGCCUACCGAGGAAUAUAAGAUAAUCAUACGAUGACUUAUAAUAGCCUCUCUGUCUUUGAUAGAGAGGCUUUCUUGAUG
rnacentral:sRNA from 1 species